UACGAGAGGCCCAACCGUUAUUCGGAUUUACUGGGCUUAAAGAGUUCGUAGGCGGUUCGGUAAGUGAGGUGUGAAAUCCCUUGGCUCAACCAAGGAAUUGCGCUUCAAACUGCCGGGCUCGAGGGAGAUAGAGGUGAGCGGAACUGAUGGUGGAGCGGUGAAAUGCGUUGAUAUCAUCAGGAACACCAGAGGCGAAGGCGGCUCACUGGGUCUUUUCUGACGCUGAGGAACGAAAGCUAGGGGAGCAAACGGG
rnacentral:rRNA from 1 species